UCGCAUCAAGAUGGAGGCACAGGCGGUCAACCAGGCCAUUGAAGUCACAAGCGCUCUUGUCUGUUCGCCAUGUCUAAACUGAACUGACGAAAGAACACAAAGAGACAGUUCUGGACUCCUAGAAUGAAGUUUUUGAUCUUGGAAGCUUGGACGCAUUUAAGAAGUUUCAAAGUGUCCUUUUGUAUGCAAUCCCUUUUCUAUAGCUACGCAUCCACCAGGUAAAUAAGAUUUUUUCUUGUUUUAUGGUACGCACAUUAAUUUGUGCUCUAACGUAUGUCCCAGUGUCUGGACUUGAGCAGCAAAAGAAUUUGGGAAAACGUAAGCAGAGCACGUUUGCUCAGGUAAUUUCGAAAUUGAUUCUUAUCCAGGUAAAUGUGUCUGGGAACCAUUACUAUAUUAUGUUGGCCAAGAGCAAUGGUUAGUUGGUAAGGGUUUAAGUUGUUGGCACCGAUACAAUGUGAGCAUGUUGUAUUCUGUUUUAGUAGAUUUGUUUUAGCUGUAGAAAGAGACGUACACAAUGCCUGUUAUACGUGGUUAUUAUCGAAAAUCAGGUAGGUUUGAAUGCCCGUUGGUUUUAGGAUUAUGAUGAGAUAGAUGUAUGCUGUGAUGAAAUCACGUUAAUUAUGGUACUGUAAAGUGCUUGACUACAUAGCUAUGAGAAAAAAUUCAUUUAUGAGCAUUUUAUGUUCAAUGAAUUGUUUUCCAGUUUCGGAAGAUGUGCGUUUGGUGUAUUCCUAUGUGACUUCGGAAUGUCAUGGUGGUGAUUUUGUGAUUUAGAAAGUUAUGUUCAAUGUACUUGGAAUGACACAGGUUGUACAGAGUGCUACU